rnacentral:rRNA from 1 species
CCUACGGGAGGCAGCAGUAGGGAAUCUUCCACAAUGGGCGAAAGCCUGAUGGAGCAACGCCGCGUGGGUGAAGAAGGUCUUCGGAUCGUAAAACCCUGUUGUUAGAGAAGAAAGUGCGUGAGAGUAACUGUUCACGUUUCGACGGUAUCUAACCAGAAAGCCACGGCUAACUACGUGCCAGCAGCCGCGGUAAUACGUAGGUGGCAAGCGUUAUCCGGAUUUAUUGGGCGUAAAGGGAACGCAGGCGGUCUGUUAAGUCUGAUGUGAAAGCCUUCGGCUUAACCGGAGUAGUGCAUUGGAUACUGGGAGGCUUGAGUGCCGAAGAGGGGAGUAGAACUCCAGGUGUAGCGGUGAAAUGCGUAGAGAUAUGGAAGAACACCAGUGGCGAAGGCGUCUCUCUGGACGGUAACUGACGCUGAGGUUCGAAAGCGUGGGUAGCAAACAGGAUUAGAUACCCGAGUAGUC